UAACGCGUGAGAAUCUAGCUUCAGGUUCGGGACAACAGAGGGAAACCGCUGCUAAUACCGGAUAGGCCGAAAGGUAAAAGAUUAAUCGCCAGAAGAUGAUCUCGCGGCCGAUUAGCUAGUUGGUGGGGUUAUAGCCUACCAAGGCGACGAUCGGUAGCUGGUCUGAGAGGACGAUCAGCCACACUGGGACUGAGACACGGCCCAGACUCCUACGGGAGGCAGCAGUGGGGAAUUUUCCGCAAUGGGCGAAAGCCUGACGGAGCAAGACCGCGUGAGGGAGGAAGGCUCUUGGGUUGUAAACCUCUUUUAUCAGGGAAUAAUCAAUGAAGGUACCUGAGGAAUCAGCAUCGGCUAACUCCGUGCCAGCAGCCGCGGUAAUACGGAGGAUGCAAGCGUUAUCCGGAAUCAUUGGGCGUAAAGCGUCCGCAGGUGGUAGUUCAAGUCGAUUGUCAAAGGCAGUAGCUUAACUACUGACAGGCAGUGGAAACUGAAAGACUAGAGUGAGGUAGGGGUAGAGGGAAUUCCCGGUGUAGCGGUGAAAUGCGUAGAGAUCGGGAAGAACACCAGUGGCGAAAGCGCUCUGCUGGACCUUAACUGACACUGAGGGACGAAAGCUAGGGGAGCGAAUGGGAUUAGAU
rnacentral:rRNA from 1 species